GUGUUGCUGGGUAAAGAUAUGACAACACUGUGUGAUUGGGGUGAUAUCAUAGCCAGGGUACAAGGAAAGCAUGAAGAUGCUGCAUGAUGAACAUGGUGUGAGAACCUAAACAGAACAAAGGGGAUUGACUGCACCCAGAAGCUGGUUUAAAAACAAAUCUGAACACUCAUCCAUGUUACCGCAAUUUCAGAAUGCUCUGAGCUACUUGAAGAGAAUCAAGAGGAAAUAGUUCUCUGCUAAUGCACCUGAAGCAACCAUUCAAGGCUGACCGGCUUCCCCCUGACCCCACCCUUCCCUUCAAUAGAAGUUGCAUUUUCAUUAUACUUGAAGUUUCCUGAGAAAGUCAUUACAAUUGAUGACUCUUGAGAACUGGGAUUUGAGAGUAUCACCCGAUAGGUUUAAAAAGUGUGUCACACAGAAACCAACGAACGAAGAACAUCAAUGUACUUGGGACAUAUUUUUGCACAAAUAUGUAUUUGUGAUAAAGUUAGUUGGGAUUUGCCAGUGUUUUCCAAACACCCACAAAGAAUA